GAUGAACGCUGGCGGCGUGCCUAAUACAUGCAAGUCGAGCGAACAGAUGAGGAGCUUGCUCCUCUGACGUUAGCGGCGGACGGGUGAGUAACACGUGGAUAACCUACCUAUAAGACUGGGAUAACUUCGGGAAACCGGAGCUAAUACCGGAUCAUAUAUUGAACCGCAUGGUUCAAUAGUGAAAGACGGUUUUGCUGUCACUUAUAGAUGGAUCCGCGCCGCAUUAGCUAGUUGGUAAGGUAACGGCUUACCAAGGCAACGAUGCGUAGCCGACCUGAGAGGGUGAUCAGCCACACUGGAACUGAGACACGGUCCAGACUCCUACGGGAGGCAGCAGUAGGGAAUCUUCCGCAAUGGGCGAAAGCCUGACGGAGCAACGCCGCGUGAGUGAAGAAGGUCUUCGGGUCGUAAAGCUCUGUUAUUAGGGAAGAACAAAUGUGUAAGUAACUAUGCACGUCUUGACGGUACCUAAUCAGAAAGCCACGGCUAACUACGUG
rnacentral:rRNA from 1 species